CUACAUUCCACUGGCUGUCAGAGGUGGCCUGGGGGUUCUUCUCCUGUGUGUCAUGACUGGGUUCGUUUUGAGAGCACAAACACCAAAACGUCGACUUCUACAGAAUGAUCAACAUUCUGGAACUCAGGAGAAGAAUGCUGAGCGUGAUGAAGACGAAUCUAGACACAGCGAUUCUCAACAAGCAGAAUACGAGGUGGUCCUGCCGUCUGAUGGAGAUGGCCAAGUCACAUAUCAUAAGACACCUGACACCACCAAGUGAUAAACAAAUAAAUAUGAAAAUAAAUGUGUUCAUUUCAGUGUCUCCCAUACUAUGUCCAGCCCCUUAUGGGCUAUUUUGGAUUGGAACAGUGUACCA